rnacentral:rRNA from 1 species
UACGGAGGGUGCAAGCGUUAAUCGGAAUUACUGGGCGUAAAGCGCACGCAGGCGGUCUGUUAAGUCAGAUGUGAAAUCCCCGGGCUCAACCUGGGAACUGCAUCUGAUACUGGCAGGCUUGAGUCUCGUAGAGGGGGGUAGAAUUCCAGGUGUAGCGGUGAAAUGCGUAGAGAUCUGGAGGAAUACCGGUGGCGAAGGCGGCCCCCUGGACGAAGACUGACGCUCAGGUGCGAAAGCGUGGGGAGCAAACAGGAUUAGAUACCCUGGUAGUCCACGCCGUAAACGAUGUCGACUUGGAGGUUGUGCCCUUGAGGCGUGGCUUCCGGAGCUAACGCGUUAAGUCGACCGCCUGGGGAGUACGGCCGCAAGGUUAAA